UACGUAGGGUGCAAGCGUUGUCCGGAAUUAUUGGGCGUAAAGAGCGUGUAGGCGGCCCGGUUAGUCCGCUGUGAAAGUCCAGGGCUCAACCCUGGAAUGCCGGUGGAUACUGUCGGGCUAGAGUCCGGAAGGGGCGAGUGGAAUUCCUGGUGUAGCGGUGAAAUGCGCAGAUAUCAGGAGGAACACCAAUAGCGAAGGCAGCUCGCUGGGACGUUACUGACACUGAGGCGCGAAAGCGUGGGGAGCGAACAGG
rnacentral:rRNA from 1 species